rnacentral:rRNA from 1 species
GAUGAACGCUGGCGGCGUGCCUAAUACAUGCAAGUCGAGCGAAUGGAUUAAGAGCUUGCUCUUAUGAAGUUAGCGGCGGACGGGUGAGUAACACGUGGGUAACCUGCCCAUAAGACUGGGAUAACUCCGGGAAACCGGGGCUAAUACCGGAUAACAUUUUUAACCGCAUGGUUCGAAAUUGAAAGGCGGCUUCGGCUGUCACUUAUGGAUGGACCCGCGUCGCAUUAGCUAGUUGGUGAGGGAACGGCUCACCAAGGCAACGAUGCGUAGCCGACCAGAGAGGGGGGUAAGCCGCACUGGGAAUGAGCCACUGCCCAGAAUCCUACGGAAGGCAGACGUAGGGAAUGUUCCGCAAUGGACGAAAGUCUGACGGAGCAACGACGGGUGAGUGAUGAAGGCUUUCGGGUGAUAAAACACUGGUGUUAGGGAAGAACAAGUGCUAGUUGAAUAAGCUGGCACCUUGACGGUACCUAACCAGAAAGCCACGGCUAACUACGUGCAAGCCGCCGCGGUAA